GCUGAUGUAGCUCAGUCGGUAGAGCGCAUCCUUGGUAAGGAUGAGGUCGCCGGUUCGAUUCCGGCCAUCAGCUCCA
rnacentral:tRNA from 1 species